rnacentral:rRNA from 1 species
GACGAACGCUGGCGGCGUGCUUAACACAUGCAAGUCGAACGGAAAGGCCCUGCUUUUGUGGGGUGCUCGAGUGGCGAACGGGUGAGUAACACGUGAGUAACCUGCCCUUGACUUUGGGAUAACUUCAGGAAACUGGGGCUAAUACCGGAUAGGAGCUCCUGCUGCAUGGUGGGGGUUGGAAAGUUUCGGCGGUUGGGGAUGGACUCGCGGCUUAUCAGCUUGUUGGUGGGGUAGUGGCUUACCCAGGCUUUGACGGGUAGUCGGCCUGAGAGGGUGACCGGCCACAUUGGGACUGAGAUACGGCCCAGACUCCUACGGGAGGCAGCAGUGGGGAAUAUUGCACAAUGGGCGGAAGCCUGAUGCAGCAACGCCGCGUGCGGGAUGACGGCCUUCGUGUUGUAAACCGCUUUCGCCUGUGACGAAGCGUGAGUGACGGUAAUGAGUAAAGAAGCACCGGCUAACUACGUG